AAGUCGUAACAAGGUUUCCGUAGGUGAACCUGCGGAAGGAUCAUUACCGAGUUAGGGCCCUCGUUGGCCCGACCCCUCCAACCCCCUUGUUUAAUUAUACCAUUUGUUGCUUCGGCGGGCCGGUCUACCCAGACCGCCGAGGGUGCACACCGCCCCUCUGGAGAGUUUUGCCCGCCGAUGGCCCCCUUCAAAAUCUUGAACCCAACCGUGACGCCCUAAAUUGAUUUAUUUGUAUAAUGUACAAAAAAACAAAA
rnacentral:misc_RNA from 1 species